AUUGAACGCUGGCGGCAGGCCUAACACAUGCAAGUCGAGUGGUAACAGGAAACAGCUUGCUGUUUCGCUGACGAGUGGCGGACGGGUGAGUCAUGUCGGGGAAACUGCCUGAUGGAGGGGGUUAACUACUGGAAACGGUAGCUAAAACCGCAUAACGUCGCAAGACCAAAGAGGGGGAGCUUCGGGCCUCUUGGCAUUAGCUGAGCCCAGAUGGGAUUAGCCAGUAGGUAGGGUAACGGCUCACCUAGGCGACGAUCCCUAGCUGGUCUGAGAGGGUGACCAGCCACACUGGAACUGAGACACGGUCCAGACUCCUACGGGAGGCAGCAGUAGGGAAUAUUGCGCAAUGGGCGCAAGCCUGAUGCAGCCAUGCCGCGUGUAUGAAGAAGGUCUUCGGGUUGUAAAGUACUUUCAGUAGGGAGGAAGGGAGUAAAGUUAAUACCUGCGCUUAUUGACGUUACCCGCAGAAGAAGCCCCGGCUAACUCCGUG
rnacentral:rRNA from 1 species